GACGACGCUGGCGGCGUGGAUUAGGCAUGCAAGUCGGACGGUAGAGCUUUAUUGUAAGAUAGAGUUUGAGAGUGGCGAACGGGUGAGUAACACGUAGGAAUCUGCCCUUAAGACGGGGACAACCCAGGGAAACUUGGGCUAAUACCGGAUGAGAGUGCGAGAGAUUGCAUUUAAAAGGAUGGCGAAAGUUGUCGCUUAGGGAUGAGCCUGCGGUCUAUUAGUUAGUUGGUGAGGUAAGAGCUCACCAAGGCGAUGAUAGAUAGGCGGCCUUAACGGGUGGUCGCCCACACUGGGAUUGAGAUACGGCCCAGACUCCUACGGGAGGCAGCAGUCGAGAAUAGUCUACAAUGGCCGGAAGGCUGAUAGUGCGACGCCGCGUGAGGGAUGACGGCCUUCGGGUUGUAAACCUCUUUCAGCAGGGAAGAAGCGAAAGUGACGGUACCUGCAGAAGAAGCACCGGCUAACUACGUG
rnacentral:rRNA from 1 species